rnacentral:rRNA from 1 species
CACGUAAGGGGCGAGCGUUGUUCGGAAUUAUUGGGCGUAAAGGGCACGCAGGCGGUUAUACAAGUCUGAUGUGAAAGACCUGGGCUUAACUCAGGGACCGCGUUGGAAACUGUAUGACUAGAAUCUUGGAGGGGGAGUCGGAAUCCCUAGUGUAGGGGUGAAAUCUGUUGAUAUUAGGAAGAACACCGGUGGCGAAAGCGGACUCCUGGCCGAAGAUUGACGCUGAGGUGCGAAAGCAUAGGGAGCAAACAGG